CUACGUUAAGGGCAAACCCAUUGAAAGGUGGGGACGCAAAGCUAUAGGGUCUAAGGUACUUCCCGGCACUAUGAUAGCCUGGCUGUCGCU
rnacentral:ncRNA from 1 species